AUCUGGCUGUGAUAUUUGUCACUGUUGAUCGCCAGGGUUGAUGCAGCUGAUCUGGCUGGCUAGAGGGGUGUUUCCUU
rnacentral:snRNA from 1 species